AACGAACGCUGGCGGCAGGCUUAACACAUGCAAGUCGAGCGCCCCGCAAGGGAGCGGCAGACGGGUGAGUAACGCGUGGGAAUCUACCCAGCUCUACGGAACAACUCCGGGAAACUGGAGCUAAUACCGUAUACGUCCGAGAGGAGAAAGAUUUAUCGGAGUUGGAUGAGCCCGCGUCGGAUUAGCUAGUUGGUGGGGUAAUGGCCUACCAAGGCGACGAUCCGUAGCUGGUCUGAGAGGAUGAUCAGCCACACUGGGACUGAGACACGGCUCAGACUCCUACGGGAGGCAGCAGUGGGAAUAUUGGACAAUGGCGAAAGCCUGAUCCAGCCAUGCCGCGUGAGUGAUGAAGGCCCCUAGGGUUGUAAAAGCUCUUUCACCGGGGAAAGAUAAUGGACGGUACCCGGAGAAGAGCCCCGGCUAANUUCGUGCCAGCAGCCGCGUAAUACG
rnacentral:rRNA from 1 species